UAACAAUGGCGCUACUACAUGCCUCAGGCUU
rnacentral:piRNA from 1 species